GUGGUUCAAAAUCUACCAUGAUAAAGUGAGACCUACGUUUCUAAGGCAUGACAAAGAGAUACAAAACUUUCCUCUUCUCCUCUGGGGAUAAAAUCUACAAGGUUUCUAAUGAUAUUGGCAGAUUUCAUAAAUUUGGAACAAAAUCAGUGACAAGACAGCAAGUCAGAAGUAACGCUGAAACCUUUGUGGCUUGUAACUCCAAAAACAGCAAUGAUAAAGAUAUAUUUGCUAAAUACCUGUCUCACUGAAAAACUACGGCUGAGCGAAUAUACAGGGAGAAGACCAUGGACAGCAUGGAGAAAGCCUCUUUGAUAACCUCAAGACUUGCUAAUGACCUCCAAGAGGAGCCAACCACCAGAAAGAACUAUCUGAGGAGACAGGCUGCCAUAUUGGUACACAG